rnacentral:rRNA from 1 species
UGCGAAGGGGGCUAGCGUUGCUCGGAAUCACUGGGCGUAAAGGGUGCGUAGGCGGGUCUUUAAGUCAGGGGUGAAAUCCUGGAGCUCAACUCCAGAACUGCCUUUGAUACUGAGGAUCUUGAGUUCGGGAGAGGUGAGUGGAACUGCGAGUGUAGAGGUGAAAUUCGUAGAUAUUCGCAAGAACACCAGUGGCGAAGGCGGCUCACUGGCUCAUUACUGACGCUCAGGCGCGAUAGCGUGGGGAUCAAACAGG